rnacentral:tRNA from 1 species
AAGGGUAUAGCUCAGUGGUAGAGUGCUUGCCUAGCAUGCAUGAGGUCCUGGGUUCAAUCCCCAGUGCCCCCA